UGUGUGAAAUAUCAAUAUAAUUUUUUAGCUGAACAUCUCUGCAUUUUUUUAAAAAUAACUCACUUGUUUCAUGGGGGAAACACACCAGUGAAGUUGAUCUGCGUGGGGCGGUACUACUGGCUUUAGUUUGUAGCAGAUAGAUGAUAGGAGUCAGCCAGUCACUGUGAGCUCAUUGUAUUGAGCCUUCUAUAGACUUCUACCAAAAAAUCACGGAACCUUCUUAGACUGAGACCAAAAUGGGCUGCAAUACCAGUAAGAGCACGGCAGUUGUGGAAUCUGUCCAAAAACCUGGAGAACAGCCUGAGGAAGAAGAAAAAGAUGAUCCUUGUACAGAAACAACUGCUGAUGCUGCCCAGAAUUGGGCUCUGAAGGACAGUGCUUGUGACAGAACAAGUUGAAAUAGGAUAUUGAUGUACCUCAAAUACAAACUGCAGCUAUGAAGUAAGCAACUUAAUUAUUGGUGUUCUGUGCUUGAAGGGAUUGAUCUUUGUAUUACUGACAGACUGUGCAGAUCAAGUCGAGUUUCAUACAGGAUUUGAAGGAAAUCUGUAUUUACAGCCGAUGGUGCGAGAUGCCAUCGAAGUUGAUGGAUGUGAAUACUCAGAAGUCUGUGUGUUGCAGAAGAAGCAAGCCAUCAACAUCGCUUCCUGGAAACUUGCAAUGAAGUCUGAAGUAAUCUCAUGGAAAUCAAUGGAGCCCUAAAUCUAAGGCAUUAACUGACUUUUUAAAAAAGUAUAUGUAUGUAUCUGUUAAUUUUGACUCUGACAAAGUUUGUAUUGUAAUGACAAGUAUAAAUAGCAAUAAUAUAUGUUGAAUAAUCUGAAAAUGUUAUGCAAUCAACACUCUACUUCAGUAUAUACAAAUUCAACUACAUAUGAAGUUUUGUCUAUUCUCCAAACUGUGCGUGUUGAUCCAUUGAUGUGCCUUUGUAUUUACUAUAGCUCAUGAUCUGAUGCCUUGGAAUUUUGAGCAGUUUAAAAAUCCUGACUAUAAUCAGUCUUCAAUGUUGUUAAUGCAAAGAUGUGCAACAAUUCCUGUGCUUGAAGAUGUAAACCAAGUAAAUUAAUGUUGUAACAUAUUUGGUUCUGUCAGUUCUUAACAUGUGCAGUAUGCGAUGUGGUUAGACAUGCACACACCUAGGUGUACAUUUCUUUGUGAGCUGACCUAUACUUAACUUUGGACUGUUAAUUAAAGGACCGUCUGGCAUUUCCUAAAUAAUUUUCUCAUGAUUUAAGCACUUGUGAAUAGUGCUUAUGUAUGUCCAUUCUGAGAAGAUGAAAUCUUUAUUGUAUGUCCACUAAAUGGUGGAUGGCGUGCGUCUUUAAUGAAGUAUGGAACUCACUUUACAAGAGAGGCUGAAUGCCUGCUCUGUAAUAGCACUGAAUUUUUUUUUGAUUGCCAUAUGUAGCAACUCAAGAACAGUGUAUUUUGGAACUUUUUUCAUAAAUAAGACAUGUUUUAAAGUUAUUUCAGUAGCCUAUUCAUCUGAGUUUGGUGUCUGAUAGUUUUACCUCAUUCUACUUACCUAUUUUAAUUGCUUUGAACUAUUCUAGCUUGAAUGCAAAUAAGUUGAUUGAAAACAAGGAUGGUGAGAGGAAAAGAAACUUCUAGCUGUUUCUGAAUUGUGGACAAACUCUAGUAAGAGGAUCUGGCUUCAGCUCUCAAAGGGGCAUAUAUAUGAUAUAUCUGGCCAUCUGCCUAAGUAUCUGAGGGCUAGCUCUUUCUGAGGGAUGGCAGUGUAGCACUUCAAACUGACUAGGGGGUAAAGCUGGAUGUUUAAGACACUUCUUUUAAUUAAUGUACUUCUGAGCUUAAAAAAAAAAGUUUGUUUCAGCUUUUUCAGAUGUGCGUUGUCUUGGGUCAGUGUUUUUUACUUAAAAACUUAGCUUCUCUUAAAUCCUGUGUCUUAUGCAAAAGAAAACCUGCUGUCUCUUAAGGGGUAGCAUUAACCUUUGGGUAGAGAAGGAAUAACAGAAGGUGACUCCUCUGAAGGGUCUGUUUCUUGCUGUUGUGGGUAUCUCUAACAUGGAGUUGUAUGCUCAAUGAGUAGCCUGAGUUCAGUAAAUAUAAUUUAUUCAGUACGCCUGUUGGGCAUACCUCAGUUGGCAUGGAGGUGGUGGUGGGAAGCAGGAAAGAUCAGAUCUGUUACUACUUGCUGUGUGUUCAUUAUAGCCUCAAGAGCCAGUGAAGACAAGUUAAAGGGGGUUGGCACUUCCAAAUGGGAACUUGACACUUGGCAGAAUUAAGCCGUAAUUCAGCAGAUUGUUAGAGCUUUUCUUUAGCCAAAUGCAUGUUAGUUGGUGUUUUCGUAUGUCUGCAUUAGCAUGUCUUGUUUAAAUGCUGGUGACGCUCAUUUGAGAGUAUGAAAUAUAGCUGCUUUCACUGUGUAAACUGAGAAUUUAGCUAGAGCAACCUGUGCAUAAUUUCACUGCCAGUGUGUAGGCUGCCAGGCAGGGUAGCGGUGUUUGUACGGGGGUACGCCUAGCAACCUGAAGCUCCUGGGGGUCAAAUCCAGAAGUUUACAACAGGAGUUACCAUCACUGUAAGGACGUCUAACCGCUACACUUGUGGAGGGGCUAGUAUCUUACCUUAGAGUAAUAUGGGACAAUUAGUUUGAGAAGUUCAAAAAAUAAUUUGCAGGUGGUUCUUCAUCCGAGUGACUGGUGGCACCCAGGGCAUUUCAAAGGUGCGUGCAGCGUGGCUGGGGGUGGCAGGUGGCCAAUGCAAACAGCAGCCUGUGGCUGUUGGUUGUAUAUCUGGUAUGUAUGCAUUCUUCUCUCACGAACUGGAUCCUAUGUUCUUAGUGGUAGGUUGGGACCUGAGGUAUCUUUAUUUGAAUGGUCAUGUGGAGAACUUCAUGUCCUUCACUUUCCCAGUGACCCAGUGCAGUGUUACCUAAAGUGGUGUAUUUACAGCUUUACUCCCUGAUGGGAGGGCAAUGUUGUGCUUCCAGAACAAUCAUACUUCUUUCUGUUUGGAAUACCAGUUCAGAUCCUGCACUUUACAGCUGGCAGUUCUAACAUGAAUUUUUAAAAUGGCACUUGAUCCUCAAGUACUUAGCUUAAGGCAUUGACUAGAUGAUGAUUUAGCACUUCUUGAUACAGACUUUAAAUCACAGAACUUACUAUGUACACACUUCAAGCUACUAGUAAGAAAUUUUUUUAUAAUGUUCUAAGCGUAUUAUAUCCUGGAAGUUAAACAGAGGAUGGCAUAAGAUACCAAGCUAGUGGUACUCAGCAUCCUGAAGUUUCUCUUUAACAUUGCAUACAAGUACCUUGCUUCCUCUUUUCCCUAAGAGAUUAUCCUAUAACUGCUUUUUGGCUUCUUUCAGCUCAGGCUUAGGUCAUAUUCAACAGUGUCUCCCUUUCCCCACAAAAAAAAAAAACAACAAACUUAUAAAAUAUUGUCCUACCGCGUUCUUCAUGACUUACUUGCCUAGCAUAGCUAGUCUGCACAUGUCAGAGGAACUGCUCUGCAGAGCUAGGGAUUUCGGGUCUAGGCUGUUGUAAUAGAUGACCUGUAGUGAUACUGUCAGGGAGAUUCAGAUCCAUUUGUUCAUAUCUGAAAUGAUAUUGAGAACUGGAUCCACAUGCAGCAGCGUGGAGCCCUGGGCCGGGCUAGCUAGCUGUCUUGCUAGCAAUGUGUGUACUAGCUCAGAAGGAUGUGCGUUGUGCUCUGAUGCACCACAGACGCUGAAGGAAAGGAAAACUGUGUGGUAGGCACGUGAUCUUGGAGUCUGGUGUGAGAGUACUUGACCUCCAAACAUGAAGGGUUUUGUUGGUUUUGUUUUCGCUCUUCCUGCACUCCUACCAUCUACCUUAUUAUGUAAUCUUAUCUCUGGGAGUUGCUAUAUGCCCUUAUGUUGAGCUUUCUGUCUUUCGCAUUACUUCUCUGUCUCUGGGAGGGGAAAAACGGUUGGUUUAUUGCUUUACAUUCAAAGGAGGAGGAAAACAAUUAUGUGGGCAAGUGCUAGUAAAUAUCUAUUGAGCAAGUCUUUGAUAAGCAAAUAGUAGCAGAGAUGACUGAAAACUGCCAUACUGAGCAGGUGUUGGGGCUGUGUGGUCUUUUGUGUUCUGUCUGCGUAGCUCAGGUCCUCCUGCCGUCAAAAUAACACCAUUUUUAUAAUGAUGCUGAGAACAUGUUCAUUUAAUUUUGGCAUGUGGAUAAUUGAUUGUGAAAGCUAGAGUGGCAAAUGAGACGACAGAAUGGUUAAUAGAAAGUCUAUGGAGUCUUGCCAGUGAUCCCAGAAAUAAAAUAUUUGUCACAAUUUUGGAAACCAGAGCUGAUUUGGGGAUUGGAAAAUGUAAAAUAACUUUCUUCUAUGCAACCUUCAGUGGUCAUCCAACUUCCCAUCUUGUGCAAGGGAGUUGAUCCAUCUCCUGAGGGUCCAUAAUCAUACCUCCCUCACUCCUGAAAUGGAGUGUCUGCACUUAUGAGUUCAGUCUCUCACCUGUAAGCAUACUUACCCUAUUUUCUGUGCUGUUGUUACUUUCUACUGUUGUCUAUUGUGAAUAAAAAUAUAUUAUGAAAGCUUUUUGUUUUGUGGCUCCAUUGUUUUUUUAGAGCUGAAAUCACACAAAUGGUUCUUUUGUCUUAGCUGCUUGUAAAAUCUGAACAUGCCUUUGACUCAUGGUAUCCCUGUCUUUGCAAUUAGAUUCUUACUGGGCAUUACGUAAAUCCACUAUGCCAUCUAGCAGGAAGGGGAGAGUAAUGGGAAGGAGGUUUGUAAUGUUUUGUAACAGAUGGCCUUCAUCUGGCAUAUGUAAUUAAAGACACUCCUCACUUAGACGUUGCUGUGUCCCAGUAGUACCUUUUUUUU